GAUGAACGCUGGCGGCGUGCCUAAUACAUGCAAGUCGAGCGAAUGGAUUAAGAGCUUGCUCUUAUGAAGUUAGCGGCGGACGGGUGAGUAACACGUGGGUAACCUGCCCAUAAGACUGGGAUAACUCCGGGAAACCGGGGCUAAUACCGGAUAACAUUUUGAACCGCAUGGUUCGAAAUUGAAAGGCGGCUUCGGCUGUCACUUAUGGAUGGACCCGCGUCGCAUCAGCUAGUUGGUGAGGUAACGGCUCACCAAGGCAACGAUGCGUAGCCGACGUGAGAGGGGAGACGGCCAAACGGGGACUGGGACACGACCCAGACACCUACGGGGGGCGGCAGUAGGGAAUCUUCCGCAAUGGACGAAAGUCUGACGGGGAAACGCCGCGUGGGUGAUGAAGGCUUUCGGUCGUAAAACUCUGUUGUUAGGGAAGAACAAGUGCUAGUUGAAUAAGCUGGCACCUUGACGGUACCUAACCAGAAAGCCACGGCUAACUACGUGCCAGCAGCCGCCGUAA
rnacentral:rRNA from 1 species